AGAGUUUGAUCCUGGCUCAGAUUGAACGCUGGCGGCAUGCUUUACACAUGCAAGUCGAACGGCAGCACGGGGGCAACCCUGGUGGCGAGUGGCGAACGGGUGAGUAAUGCAUCGGAACGUACCGUGUAAUGGGGGAUAACGAGUCGAAAGACUUGCUAAUACCGCAUACGCCCUGAGGGGGAAAGUGGGGGAUCGUAAGACCUCACGUUAUACGAGCGGCCGAUGCCGGAUUAGCUAGUUGGUAGGGUAAAGGCCUACCAAGGCGACGAUCCGUAGCUGGUCUGAGAGGACGACCAGCCACACUGGGACUGAGACACGGCCCAGACUCCUACGGGAGGCAGCAGUGGGGAAUUUUGGACAAUGGGGGCAACCCUGAUCCAGCCAUGCCGCGUGAGUGAAGAAGGGCUUCGGGUUGUAAAGCUCUUUCGGCCGGGACGAAAUCGCUAUUCCUAAUACGAGUAGUGGAUGACGGUACCGGAAUAAGAAGCACCGGCUAACUACGUGCCAGCAGCCGCGGUAAUACGUAGGGUGCGAGCGUUAAUCGGAAUUACUGGGCGUAAAGCGUGCGCAGGCGGU
rnacentral:rRNA from 1 species